UCGUUUGGUUUGGUUUGGUUUGGUUUGGUUUUUCGAGAAAGGGUUUCUCUGUGUAGCCCUGGCUGUCCUGAAACUCUCUCUGUACACCAGGCUGGCCUCGAAUUCAGAAAUCUGCCUAUCUCUACCUCCCAAGUGCUGGGAUUAAAGGCAUGCGCCACCACUGCCCGGCGCAGCAAGCCCUCUUAACUGGUGAGCCAUCUCUCCAGCCCCAUCUUCUCUGUUUUAAAACAUAUUCAUUCUUUCAACUCUAAAAGUCUCAAGACCAGACCCUCAAAUCGUCCAUCAGGAAUUUUCUGAACUGAUACAAGGACUAUAGCAAGCUAGUUAAGCACCUUUCCUAAGCAAU
rnacentral:lncRNA from 1 species